rnacentral:piRNA from 1 species
UCAAAGAUCUUUUAUAAAGCCAAUGAUUACC